UAGGAUCAUUGUGUAAAUAUUAAAAAUUAAAGGAUUAGAUAUCAAGAAGGUAGGUAGAGUAGUUAUAACCAUAUACUUCACUUCUGUGUAUAUAUAUAUACAUAUGUACAGAACUUAUGAGUAUCAAUGUAAGCAGUUCAUAAAUUUGUUAAUUCCUCUCUUCCUCUCUUCUUCGCAUCUUCUCUUCUUCUCUGCAUCUAUGCUUGCCAUUUACAUCAAGCUAUCAUCUUCAAGGUAGCUAACAGAGCUUUGCAUUUACUUUUAACUCUUUUAUUUUUCAAUUCACGUACAAAAAAGACUAAAAUUGCCUAGAAUAGCUAGGUGUGUUGUAGUAUAAAAAUCAAGAUAUCUAUCGUUUUUUAACUCGAUAAAUAGAAUUUAUUACUCGAGUAAAUAAUUAUUAGGAUACACUAUUAAUCAUAUAUAUUGAUACAAUAUUAUUAUUAUUUAGAAUAUACUAUAAUAUAGAUCCACUAUGAUUCCAUAUUUCUACUCAGUUAUUUUAUUGCUAUCCAGAUCAAUUCAAUUCAUAGAAGUUUGAUAGGAUAUUGUUUUUUUUUUUUUUUGUAUGGCCUAUUUUCAUAUGGUGAUGAUGAAAAAUGAACAUAUUCUAUGGGUUUCUUCCUUGAGGCUCCAUAUUAUGGUUUAGGAUAAUUACAUCGGCUGUCUGUCUACUUUGACUCAAAACUUCUUUACCUCGAAUUGACUCGUAAGAUAUUUUGUCAAAAUCUUUUAAUUUUUUUUCAAUUGGAUAUGUCAUAUAUAUGAUCAUAAAAAAGAGAAAAAAAAAAGUAAUUUUUAUUAGAUAUUAAAAUAUAUUAGUUCAAAAGAACGACUAAAAUAAUCAAAUUUAGUAAAAAUUGGGUUGGCUUGGGUCUUGACACGUUUUAUGACUCAUGAUCUAACCUUUUCUGACCCAAGUAAACUUGGAUUGGGUUGGAUCUUGAUUAGAUUAACUAUCAUGACGCACCUAAAUUUAAACCAACCAGUCCAAUUGUCACCCUUAUCAAUGACUUCUCAAAUAAUUUCCAUCAUAGCAACUUUACUUUUUAGAUUUGCCACAGAAUAUUUCCUAUGUAGCUAGUUACAUAAUUGUUAGUUUCGUCUUCGAAUUAUUGAUAGUCUUAAAAACAAUUAGCUAUAUGACUAAUUAAACCUAAAUACACAACUCUCAUAAGUCAUAUCAUACACAUAAAUAGAAGUGCUAUGCACGCACGUUCACAUGAAUUUUCUGUUGGCGUGACAUAUACAUAAAUCUAUCGUACGAUAUGAGGGGCGUUUUAAGCAUUGCCUAUUUUGUUUAUUUCAUUUAUACACUAUAUAAUGUAAAAAUCUAUAUAAACAAUGUAUUAUAAUGUAUGGAAGUGUAUAUACAGUGUUAUAUAAUUUUUUGAAAAAUUGAAGAGAAUUGUACAGUGGCUAAAAACAUAAAGAUAAAUAGAUUUGGCUUCAUGAAAUUCAAUGUAAACAUUUGUUGGCUAUUCUAAAUACAAUAAAAACAUUGGACUAUGCAAAUUGCAACUUAAACUGUUUGCUUAUGCAUUAUAUAUCCCUCAAUGUACUAAAGAACAAUUUUUCCCUCAGUGAAAGUAUUAAGAGAAUAACACAAAGUAGUGGUAAUUCAUUUCAACCAGCAGGAGGCCCUCAAGGCUGAAUGAUGAAAUAAAGCAUGUACAGAUUUCAUACUUAUUGGCCAACGACAAACUAUUACAGAAAAUUCGGAGUGUAUGAUCUAUUUUUCCUGCCUGUGCAUGCCAUAUAGUU